rnacentral:rRNA from 1 species
UCAGGCCUAACACAUGCAAGUCGAACGGCAGCACGGACUUCGGUCUGGUGGCGAGUGGCGAACGGGUGAGUAAUGUAUCGGAACGUGCCUAGUAGCGGGGGAUAACUACUCGAAAGAGUAGCUAAUACCGCAUACGCCCUACGGGGGAAAGGGGGGGAUCGCAAGACCUCUCACUAUUAGAGCGGCCGAUAUCGGAUUAGCUAGUUGGUGGGGUAAAGGCUCACCAAGGCGACGAUCCGUAGCUGGUUUGAGAGGACGACCAGCCACGCUGGGACUGAGACACGGCCCAGACUCCUACGGGAGGCAGCAGUGGGGAAUUUUGGACAAUGGGGGCAACCCUGAUCCAGCCAUUCCGCGUGUGCGAUGAAGGCCUUCGGGUUGUAAAGCACUUUGGCAGGAAAGAAAUCGCACGGGUUAAUAACCCGUGUGGAUGAC